rnacentral:rRNA from 1 species
UGGCGAACGGGUGAGUAACAUAUCGAACAUACCUAGAGUGGGGGAUAACGUAGCGAAAGUUACGCUAAUACCGCAUACGCACUAAGGUGGAAAGUGGGGAUUCGCAAGAACCUCAUGCUCAUGGAGUGGCCGAUAUCUGAUUAGCUAGUUGGUGAGGUAAAGGCUCACCAAGGCGACGAUCAGUAGCUGGUUUGAGAGAACGACCAGCCACACUGGAACUGAGACACGGUCCAGACUCCUACGGGAGGCAGCAGUGGGGAAUUUUUGGACAAUGGGGGCAACCCCUGAUCCAGCAAUGCCGCGUGAGUGAAGAAGGCCUUCGGGUUGUAAAGCUCUUUUUGUCAGGGAAGAAACGGUGAGUUCUAAUAAAGCUUGCUAAUGACGGUACCUGAAGAAUAAGCACCGGCUAACUACGUG